CCCUUAGAUGUUCUGGGCCGCACGCGUGCUACACUGAUGCAUUCAACGAGUCUAAAACCUGGUCUGAUAGGGCUGGGUAAUCUUUUGAAAGUGCAUCGUGAUUGGGAUAGAUGAUUGCAAUUCUUCAUCUUCAACGAGGAAUGCCUAGUAAACGCAAGUCAUCAGCUUGCAUUGAUUACGUCCCUGCCCUUUGUACACACCGCCCGUCGCUCCUACCGAUUGAAUGAUCCGAUGAAUACCAUGGAUUGAGAGUACGAAUGGGUUCGCUCAUUUCUGCUGCUCGAGAAGUGGAGUAAAUCUUAUCAUUUAGAGGAAGGAGAAGUCGUAACA
rnacentral:rRNA from 1 species